AUGUAGAAACUCCAACAGGGCCCACAAGACGACGUGGCGUCCUUUCAUUGGAUGUACUUUUAGUUUUCCAGUUGAGUUGAAUUUUCCCAAUUUCUCUUGAAGGGAAACCGCAAAGAACUCUCCAGAGAAAGAAAGAGCGCUCUGUGAAAACGCUCUCAAUUCGAAAGUGCAGAUUCUGGCAAAUUUCUCCCUCUUUCUUCUUCCCUCCUCUCGAUUUUCAUAUCGGCGUAGCUUAAUCUGUCACUGAUCAAUGUAUAGGACUGUGUUCAGAAACAGAGAAUCGAUCGAUAUUUGAUGGCUCCGAUUUCUCAAAUACAGGUCAGUAGUGGACGGAUUCAUGUAGCUUCAAAUGCUGCAAAUGUUGUUUUGCAUUUGUGAAAACAGAGCCGUGGUUUGAUUGAGGUACGUACGCUUAAUUUUGAAACCUUGUACAAUUUAUGUCGAUCGGUGAAUGAUUCUUCUUGAUUUCAUCGUAAAUGAUCGGUUCGAUUCUCUUUUAUCAAGGUUCGUCUGUCGUGGCAACUUAAUUUUGAAA